rnacentral:lncRNA from 1 species
UCCUAUUCCUCAUGUGAGGGAGAAGGGGAAGCAGGGUUUGUUCUCUUUCUGCACAUCUGUUUGUGUUGAUUCUUGAGAAUUCUUGGUACAUUGUUUGGUCACAGCUGUAAUUGCACUUUAUUGGAAGUUUUGGUAUCUUGUAGAUACUUGUGUGCAAAAUGAGCAUUUUCAGAUAAAGACUUUGAGCUCAAGAGAAUGAAGGAUAUGAUUAGUUCUACUUGCAUUAUGUUGGGUUUUCCCUUGAAUUAACUUCUCUGAGAUCCAGUGUGGGGUAUGGCCAUUUUCAUAAGCACUUCUACUUUACUUCGCUUCGAAUGCAAGUGUAUGUAAAUAUGUUUUUUUUUCAAUGAUUUUAUUUCUUUAUUAUUUGUUACCCACUUUUGUGAUAUCAAAUUUCAUCAAUGUCUGCUACUUCUUUUUGUAUGGUUUGAGUAUGGUGGGAUCAAGAUUAGUGUGUCAAGGUUUCUGUGAUCUCCAGCUUUUGAGUAUUAGUAGGGUCUAUUUGCAUUUUGCUAACAGUGUCUGCUCUCUGAGUACAAAAUCCUUGAACUGUUGAAUCAAGUAUUUGCCGAAAUAUUUUAAUCUGAUAACGCUAUUUCUUCUCUAAUUUGGGCAAAAUGGGUAUUGCUUUUUAUGGUUGCAGAUUUUGACUUGCAUCUGAAUUAUCAAUUAUGUACCGGCAUUAUUAUAUAGCAUUAUUCCUGAAGAUCAUGUUUAAACUUGCGAAUUUCUUUUGUUUGCCUUCUUCCAACUACUUUAUCCAUCUAAGUAUUUGUAAAUAUAAAAUGGGCAUUUCAUGAAUAUGUUAUCAGUAAUUACAUAAUACAGGAACUGUGAGUCUGUGAUACUGCUUUGCUUCCUUGAUUUGUUUUGGCAUGAAAUUUAUGUGAUGUUUCGACCUUUUAUACCUUUUACUUUUAAAGAUCGCAAAAAUUUGUCAAAUAAAUGCUUUCAGUUUGAGUUUAUUAAGAAUUGUACCUAUGUGAUUGACUAUGUAUCUUGAGUUCCUCUCCUUAUCAGAUGUGAAGUUCAAUUUUAACGUGUUAGAUGGUUAACAUUUGCUUCCUGUUUUCCUUGUUUCUUGUAGAUUUCAGAUCUAUAAACGAGACUGGGAAUGGAUCUGGAAUUUGACAAAUAUUGCGUAGUAGAUGGAAGU